UUGAGAAGAUAGAUUAACAUGUAUUAAAUGAUUGAUUCAUUGUGAACAAACUUACAUUCAUAUGACUGAAACUACAAGGAAAGAUUACAAGUAAUAAGCGAGAAAUAAUGAUAAGUGAUAACUACAACACUGUAUGAUACACUAACACCCUUCAAUAGCAAACAGUUUUUCAGCCAUGCUAUGCUACUGUGCUUGAAGCAAUACUUUAUUAGUUUUCGAGGCUCAAAGAAACGCUAGUGCACUACCAGAAAACUUUUAUUUUACGACGCACAAUUUACGGCGUGCAUAUCAUGCGCGCCAUAAAAGAGUGUCAUUUACGACAUGCUUUUUUAUGAGCCGUAAAAGAGUUCUCUUUCUGGUCAUUUACGGCGUGCUUCCCGUGUGUGCCGUAAAUGACAAAUUACAUUUACGGCGUACGUUUUUUAUGGGCUGUAAAAGACUUUCAUUUCUAGUCUUUUACAGCGUACUUCUCAUGUGCGCUGUAAAUGGAAGAAAAACCUUUUACGGCGUGCUUCAUAUAUGUGCCGUAAAAGACUAGAAAUGAAAGUCUUUUACGGCGUUCUUUCAAGUGUGCCGCAAAUUUCACAAAUUUUAAGAGCCCGCUCAUACUUUCGGUCAACAAUUAAACUUCCCCCCUUUUCUUUAACUCUUUAAGGGAAGUGUUCCCAUCCUUCCAUCUCUCUCUCUCUCUCUCCCUCUGAUCUUGUCCUUGCCUACUCCAACGGGAGUUACCAGACGACUACUUCUGCAUAUCAAUGGAAGGGGGUUUUACUGGCCACCACAAGCACUUUCCCUCCAAAUUUGGGUUUCACUUUUUGGGGUUUCUUUUAGAUCUGGAGACGAACAUCAUCGCUUCGGUAUUCCAAUUCUCUUUUUGGGUUUUGACAUCAUCAGGAUCUGGGUUUGUGAUUAUUCUGUUUCUAUGCCGUCGAAACCCAUCCCAUCUUGAACUGAAAAUUCCAGAAACUGAAAUUUCCUGAGCUCUGGGAACCUGGAGAUGGACACUUUCCGAGUUUUCUAAUUCAUUUCAUCAUCAUUUGAUUGUUGUCUUUGAAUUUUCUUUCUAGGUUUUUUGGUGGUUUUGUUUUUGUUGUUGCUAAUUUGGGUUUUGGUGAAUUUGUGAAGAGCAAGCGGUGUGUGUAGAAAUUGGAAACAGGGGUGAAGCAGAGUCUGGGACGCAGAGACAGUUUGAGCUUUGCUGGUUGGAAGAUGGGUUCUCAGAUAUGAUUUUUGGGUGUGAGAACUCUAGCUGGAGAACAAGAGGAUGAUGGACAGUUCUAUUAAAUAGAGAGGACAAGCCUUCUGAGGGCAAGAGAAGAAGCUUUGGGUUUGCGAACUCUAGCUGGAGAACAAGAGGAUGAUGGACAGUUCUAUUAGAGAAAUAGAGAGGACAAGCCUUCUGAGGGCAAGAGAAGAAGCUGGUUCGAGGUUAAGAAAAGUGCUAAGCAAGGGCAGAUGAUGUGUUUUUCUUCUGAUCGGAUACAAGAAGGUAAUUCAAAUAAGCCCCUUUCAACUGGUGUAGUAGAUGCUUAUCUUGCAGAGUGGAUGAGAAAAAUGAAUGUAAAGUAGUGUAGGAAAUGGAUGUAAAGUACGUAGUUGUGAAGGUUUCUUUUUGCUUCUAUGGAUUUUUAUUUGCUUGUAAGCAAAUCUUAUAUGAUGUACAAUAAUUAUAUAAAUGAAGUUUAUUUACCAACAAAAAUAUAGAAACAUGAAAUAAAAUGUAAAUUGUGGAUUUUUGGCUUUUAUUAUUAUUAUUAUUAUUAUUAUUAUUAUUAUUUUCAACCCUCAUUUACGGCGUGCAUGGUAUGUGUGCCGUAAAUAUAACAUCUUUUACGGCACACAUUUGACUCAUUUACGGCGUGCAUGAUACAUGUGUUAUAAAUACACUCCUCUUUUACGGCACACUUUUGACUCAUUUACGACGCACAUUGUGACUCAUUUACAGCGCAUUUCAUAUGCGCCGUAAAUAAUAAUUGUCUUUUACGGCAUGUCCAUUUACGGCCUACAUUUGUGGGCUGUAAAAGAUCAUUUACGGCGCACAUUGUGGGCCGUAAAAGACCUUUUUUCUGGUAGUGGUGAGAAUCUGAAUUCUAUCGUAUUAGUGUACCAUGCAGAGACACAUCUAUUUGAUUCCAAACAAGAAAUAAACAAACCAAACAAGAAAUAAACAAAGAGAUGGUAUA